rnacentral:rRNA from 1 species
AACGAACGCUGGCGGCGUGGAUAAGACAUGCAAGUGGGACGCUAAUCAGAGGGUAGCAAUAUUCUCUGGUGGGAGUCGCGUAAGGGUGCGUAACACGUGGGUAAUUUGCCGCGAAGUUUGAAAUAACUUGCCGAAAGGUAAGCUAAUGUCAAAUGUGACUGUCAGCAGGCAUCUGUUGAUUGUCAAAGCCGGGGACCGUAAGGCCUGGCGCUUCGCGAUAAGCCCGCGGCCUAUCAGCUAGUUGGUGAGGUAACGGCUCACCAAGGCUUAGACGGGUAGCUGGUCUUAGAGGACGACCAGCCACACUGGAACUGAGGCACGGUCCAGACACCUACGGGUGGCAGCAGUCGAGAAUUUUUCACAAUGGGCGAAGGCCUGAUGGAGCGACGCCGCGUGGGGGAUGAAUGGCUUCGGCCCGUAAACCCCUGUCAUUCGGGAUCAAAUCUGGCAACCCAACACGUUGCUAGUUGAUAGUACUGAAAGAGGAAGGGACGGCUAACUCUGUG